UACGAAGGGGGCUAGCGUUGCUCGGAAUUACUGGGCGUAAAGGGCGCGUAGGCGGAUAUUUAAGUCGGGGGUGAAAGCCCAGGGCUCAACCCUGGAAUAGCCUUCGAUACUGGAUAUCUUGAGUACGGGAGAGGUGAGUGGAACUCCGAGUGUAGAGGUGAAAUUCGUAGAUAUUGGGAGGAACACCAGUGGCGAAGGCGGCUCACUGGACCGGAACUGACGCUGAGGCGCGAAAGCGUGGGGAGCAAACAGG
rnacentral:rRNA from 1 species